rnacentral:rRNA from 1 species
GACGAACGCUGGCGGCGUGCCUAAUACAUGCAAGUAGAACGCUGAAGGAGGAGCUUGCUUCUCCGGAUGAGUUGCGAACGGGUGAGUAACGCGUAGGUAACCUGCCUGGUAGCGGGGGAUAACUAUUGGAAACGAUAGCUAAUACCGCAUAAGAGUAGAUGUCGCAUGACAUUUGCUUAAAAGGUGCAACUGCACCACUACCAGAUGGACCUGCGUUGUAUUAGCUAGUUGGUGAGGUAACGGCUCACCAAGGCAACGAUACAUAGCCGACCUGAGAGGGUGAUCGGCCACACUGGGACUGAGACACGGCCCAGACUCCUACGGGAGGCAGCAGUAGGGAAUCUUCGGCAAUGGACGGAAGUCUGACCGAGCAACGCCGCGUGAGUGAAGAAGGUUUUCGGAUCGUAAAGCUCUGUUGAAGAGAAGAACGAGUGUGAGAGUGGAAAGUUCACACUGUGACGGUAUCUUACCAGAAAGGGACGGCUAACUACGUG